rnacentral:lncRNA from 1 species
UUUGGUAUAAUGGUAUAAACCAUGUCUAUAAUACUCUAUAUGGAAUGUUUUGUUCAGCCAAUUAAAACUAGAAUGAUGGUGCUAUAAUCUUUACAAAUGUUGCUAUAUAUUAGGUGUAAUAUGUCUAAAAAGGGAUAUAAAGGAACAUUUGAAUUGGCCAUGAUAGGCACAUGGCUGCUGCCUAUGGCAGCAGCAGAAACAGUGAAUUGAUUUUGGUUGGGAGUUUUUCUUUUAAGUUUUCAAUGGGCAAGCCUAGUAGUUUAAACGACUUGGUUAGUAUUCUAUUCAGGAUGGUAAGUACAUUACUUAUAUUGUCUCCAAAAAUUUUACUGUAUCGUAGUAUAUUAACUACAAGUUAAAAUUUGGUGGAGAAUGUGUAAUUUUGAUUAUGUAUUGUAAUUCACCAACUGAUAGUGGUAUUAUAUGAGUAAGGUUGAAAGUUAUAUGUAUAGAGAUUAUAUUAUCUUAUAUUGCAUACAUUAGAAGCACAUGUGAUAGUAUGAAAGGAACAUGAACUAACUAGUUGCAUAUAUUGGUUAAAAUAGAAAAUUGAAUGUUUUAUGAAUUGCUAUGGCUGGAACUAGAUUGGAGGAAAUAGGUUGGUUGUGUGGAGGUAUAAGGGUGAUAAAAUGGAGUUUUAACACAAGCAAAUAGCUAUGACACAAGUAGUUUUAAACUAUGCACAUUAGUAGUUUGAUAAAAGUCCUUAAUGGACUGUUUUGCUUAAACGUUGGUUAUUUGAUAGAAUUAAAGCUUGGGCUAGAUACGUACACCACAUAUAAUGAUAAUUAGAAAGUUUAAGCUUAAUAGAUUAAAAUGAGAUGCAAUUUCAGCCCGAAACCAUUGGUUGAAUUCAGUGUGUCAAGCUAUUUUUACCCGCUAUUUUUGGCAGUGUAUUGAAACUGUAAUGGAGGUUUUAUUUAAUCAAAA